UUUUCCAUUUGACUACAACAUUUUCCCCAGUACAUUUUAGUGACUAUGCAAGUGAGAAAGAUUUAAGUUGCCACGAUGUGAAGAGGGCGGGGGUUUGGGGACCCUCCUUCUAAAUUAAAUGGCUGGAAAGAAGAAA